GAGUUUGAUCCUGGCUCAGGAUGAACGCUAGCGGGAGGUUUAACACAUGCAAGUCGUGGGGCAGCAUUAGGUAGCAAUACUUAGAUGGCGACCGGCGCACGGGUGAGUAACGCGUAUGCAACCUACCCAGUACAGGGGGAUAGCCCGGAGAAAUUCGGAUUAAUACCCCAUAAUGAUAUAGAGAGGCAUCUUUUUAUAUUUAAAGCUUCGGCGGUACUGGAUGGGCAUGCGUAAGAUUAGCUAGUUGGUAGGGUAACGGCCUACCAAGGCUCCGAUCUUUAGGGGUCCUGAGAGGGUGAUCCCCCACACUGGUACUGAGACACGGACCCGACUCCUACGGGAGGCAGCAGUAAGGAAUAUUGGACAAUGGGCGAAAGCCUGAUCCAGCCAUGCCGCGUGAAGGAUGAAGGCGCUCAGCGUUGUAAACUUCUUUUGGAUGGGAACAAUAACCACGACUUGUCGUGACUUGAGGGUACCAUCAGAAUAAGCACCGGCUAACUCCGUGCCAGCAGCCGCGGUAAUACGGGGGGUGCAAGCGUUAUUCGGAUUUAUUGGGCGUAAAGGGCGCGUAGGCGGUAUAUUAGGUCAGAUGUGAAAGCCCGGGGCUUAACCCCGGAAGUGCAUUUGAAACCGGUAUACUUGAGUAUGGGAGAGGGAAGUGGAAUUCCUGGUGUAGAGGUGAAAUUCGUAGAUAUCAGGAGGAACACCGGUGGCGAAGGCGACUUCCUGGCCCAAUACUGACGCUGAGGCGCGAAGGCGUGGGGAGCAAACAGGAUUAGAUACCCUGGUAGUCC
rnacentral:rRNA from 1 species